UACGGGGGGGGCUAGCGUUGUUCGGAAUUACUGGGCGUAAAGCGCACGUAGGCGGAUAUUUAAGUCAGGGGUGAAAUCCCGGGGCUCAACCCCGGAACUGCCUUUGAUACUGGGUAUCUGGAGGUCGAGAGAGGCGAGUGGAAUUCCGAGUGUAGAGGUGAAAUUCGUAGAUAUUCGGAGGAACACCAGUGGCGAAGGCGGCUCGCUGGCUCGAUACUGACGCUGAGGUGCGAAAGCGUGGGGAGCAAACAGG
rnacentral:rRNA from 1 species